rnacentral:lncRNA from 1 species
CGGCACAUGGAGGUUCCCAGGCUAGGGGUCCAAUCGGAGCUGUAGCCGCUGGCCAACACCACAGCCACAGCAACGCAGAAUUCGAGCUGCAUCUGUAACCUACACCAUAGCUCACGGCAGUGCCGGAUCCUUAACCCACUGAGCAAGACCAGGGAUUGAACCCAGAACCUCAAGGUUCCUAGUCGGAUUCAUUAACCACUGAGCCACAAUGGGAACUCCUGUCUUUCUCUUUCUGACUUACUUCACUUAGUAUGAGAAUCUCUAGUUGCAUCCAUGUUGCUACAAAUGGCAUUAUUUUGUUCUUUUUAUGGCUGAAUAGUACUCCAUUGUGUAUAUGUACCACAUCUUCUUAAUUCAUUCAUCUGUCAAUGGACAUUUAGGUUGUUUCCAUGUCUUGGCUCUUAUGAAUAGUAACAGCUAGUCAAUUCUCCCUCUUGCUCAUUCAUUCAUUCACUCAUCUAGAAACAAAGGAUCUGAACUAUGGGAAGACAAAGACAGCCAUUAGGGGCCUUAUUUUAUCAGUGCCUCAAAAGAGAAAAGAGGAGGGCUUACAGAUUGCUAGCAGAGCUCCGAAGUUUCCGGACCUGGUACCUUGGAUCUGCUGGUAAGAGGCUUGAUCCUAAAUGGUGCCCUCCUACCUUGCCCAAGGGGAAUUUGGUCUGAGCAGCUCAAAGGUUUAACUGAAUUAAACUGAGAUAGCAGCUCCAUUCUCCAGAGAACCUAACAUGAUAGCUGCCAGGCAUGGCUGGGGAGAGAGUCUGUUUUAACCAUCUCUUAUUCACCUUGUUGGUAUGGGUGAGAUUCCUGCUCUAGGGUGUCAGGGAUGGCCAAAUAACCACCCGGCACUGAAUAUUUAUGGUUGACAGAUUGAUGGUGUAUACUCAGAGCCUGGGCGAAGAGAACACUGUGUGUCACCCAAGGCCAGGCAUUGCGCUCCAAAACACAGAGGAAAACCAGGGUCUGUGGGAGGCAGGUUUUGUAGUAUCACAUGGGUGGGAUGACCAUGUGAUUGGCUUGUUUGAAUAAUUCCAUGACCUGGCAGGAAACCGAAACCUACUACCUGAGGGGUAGGCACCUGGUCCCCUUGAUAAAGGAGGGUUGUUUGAUAAGAAGACUUUAACUUCAGAAGCAGAGGGGGUAAAGAAACUUGCAGUUGGGUCAUCCAAGGCUCCUCAGUUUCAUCAAUCAAGGCAGCCCAUCAAACCAUGCCUUAAUUCUGGGCUUUACCCCACAGAAGACUCCCCAUAGGUCACAACCUCAGCAGCCACAAAACCUACCUAGUCGGCAACCUCAGCUCAGGAUCUCAACCCAGAGAUUCCAGAAUCUCAGAACCCAACUCAUUAGUGCUCAGUGGUGCUCAAAGUGGGCUCAGAGCUGAGCAUCAGCCAGAGGGGGGCAUCAGCCAGAGGGGGGCAAGUGAUGGAGACACCCCGUUACUUGCACCUUCCUGACUGCCUCUCUCCUCCCUGUAAAUCACCCUGCCUCAGCGAGGUCAAAAAUCCCCACCCCUGGCUAUUUAAAUCCCUCACUUUCCUUCAUAUCGCCUACAUUUGACACAAACAGACAUUAAUACAUCUGCCCUUUGCUCUUGUAAGAAAACAGGCUCUGUAACCAAGACAACUAGUUAUGGCCUAUAGCACUGAACACAGAAGGCAGCAGCCUGUCAGUGAUAAGGGUCCAUCCUGGGACCCUCACUUCUAGACCCCUACCUCCUGUCCUUUUGUCUUGUUUGCUCCCGGUGACCUAGCUCAGCCAAUCGAGGGCUGUGCUUGCUUUUUGCUCUGGCCUUUCUCAACUUCUACAAUCAAUUCCUGUCUUGAGACACCAUCCUGCUGAAUUCACAGGAAGAGGUGAACUUUGUUCUGCUCUGAAUAUGGUUCAGGCAUUCAGCUAAUAAUGAGUUUCAGGAUCCUGUACCCUGCAGAAAGGACCCCCAUGAAGGCACAUAAGACCCUGUGUGGCUACGCUGCUGGGGUGGGGACUUCCAGCCACCAGUGCUUGAAACCCACCUCAGCUACCCACUUCUACCUUCAUUCGGGAGAUCAGGCCCCACCCAGACCCUCAGGCCACUGUCCAGUGUGAUGAGGAGUGAGGUCUGGGCACUAUCACCUCACCCCUAGGACCCCAAGCACCUAGAAGUAUUCCUAGAGUAUGACCAGAUCCGUGCUGUUUACCAGAACAUCCCUGCCAGUAGCCUUAUUAAAUCCAUUUUCCCUCCAUUAGAAACUAGAAAGUGAGUCACAGCUGCCACUUUGGGAACCAGGGACAAUAAGCCCACAGUCCAGAUAGGGGAUGAGAGAAUCCACGAGCAAGACAGACACUAAAAUUAGGAUUCUGCUUCCUGGAGAAGCACAGAAUGCUAUCAGAUCUUUGCCCUGAUUUAUCCAGUGGGAGGCCUGCUGGGAAAUUUGAGCAUGCUUUUGGUUUGGGAUUUUUUUUUUUUUUUUUUUUUCCUCCUUUAGCCAGAAGUCACUUUAUCCUUGGCUUGGGGGAAAUGGAGGUUGUGUAGGGAGCAAAGGAGGAGAGGCCUGGGAGGUUCUCAUGGCCAGGGCUGCCACGGUCUGGGUAGCUGAAACAACAGAAACGUAUUUUCUCCUUUCUGGAGGCUAGAAGUCUGAGGUUGAGUCUCAGCAGCCGUGAUUUCUCCUGAGGCCUCUGUCUUGCUUGUAGGCGGUCGUCCUCUCCCUAUAUCCUCGCAUCGUCUUCCCUCUGUGCUCGUGCGUAUCUGUGUCCUGAUUUCUUUUUUUUUCCUUUUCUUUCAUUUUCUUCCUUUUUUUAGGGCUGCAUUCGAGGCAUAUGGAAGUUCCCAGGCUAGGGGUUGAAUCAAAGCAGCUGCUGAGGCCUACACCACACCCACAGCAACACCAGAUCCAAGCGACCUACAACACAACUUACGGCAACUCCAGAUCCUUAACCCACUGAGCAAGGCCAGGGGUCGAACCUGCGUCCUCACAGACGCUAAGUCAUGUUCUUAACCUGCUGAGCCACAACAGGAACUCCCUGAUCUCUUCUUACGACACAGUCCUACUGAAUUAGGGUGCACCCAUAUGACCUCACUUUACCUUAAUCACCUCUUUGAAGAUGCCAUCUCCAAACCCAGUCACACUCUGAGGUCCUGGGGUCUAGGACUUCAACAUAUAAACUUUGGGUGGGAGAAAUCCAAUUCAGCCCAUACCAGACCCACUCCCUUGCAGUGAGGGAGGGUCUUGAGGGUUGGCAAGCUCAGUGUGCCUCUAGGGCGAGGCUUUAUUUCAUAGGCGAUCAACUAGCCCCACUUUGGGAGGAGAGAGUCAGAAGAGGGCUUCUAUGUGAGAUGGCCUCAAGAAGGCAGGGGAAUAUCCUAUGAUAAAUCAGAAUGGAAAAGGAUGUUUUAAAAAAGAAGGUAAAAAAGAAGGUAUGUCUAUGUAUAACUGAAUCAAUUCCUGUGCAGCAGAAAUGAACACAACACUGUAAGUCAAUUAUACUUCAAUUAAUUUUUUUAAGAUUUUUUUAAAGAAAGAGGGAGCAGCACCCCUGAGAAGGAAUCCAGGGAGAGGGGAAGAGGAGGGGACACUGGAUGGAGGAGGGAGGAGAUCCGGCCACCAGGUUUGAACAUGGAUGUGAAUAAUUUCCUCGUGCCUAGGGAGGAUGGGUGGACUGUGAAGGCACUUACAAGAUAAUAGGGGACAUUCAGCUUUAAGAAGGGACUGGAUCUUUGCCUGCAGACGGGUAGCCAGUGUGCCCCAGAGGCUAGAACCAGGACCUGUGGGUAUAAACCAAAGAGGGGCACGUUUCAACUGCAGGAAAAUCAGAACAUUCUAGGCAUUGAAAUAUUCAACCUUGGGGUAAUCUGCUAUGACAGGUAGUGAGCACCCUUCACUCAGAACAUUUCAUUCAAGCUGGGAGAUGAUCAUGGUGCUUGGAGAAUAGUUCCUGCAAUUCUUAAAUUUUGUGAUGGAUCAAAUAAGAGGGUUGGACUAAAUAAUUUAACUCAAAGCCUCCCCUUGUGGUCCUGUAGCCUUCCCUAACUCUUACCAGCCUCUGUCUUUCAGACUAGAUGAAUUGUAAGGAGAGCAGCUAAUGACACAUAAUUCUGAACCUCUGAACUCUGUCAAGAAACUAAGCUUUUAGUUUAGAAAAUUUAGCUCUGCAUCUCUUGGGUCAAGAAUUCGACAUUGUUCCAGAAAGAUGUGGUAGGAAGAAUAAUGAUUCCUGCCACCUCCACGACCCCAAAUGAAUUCCAAAUCCCAAUCCCUAGCACUCAAGAACGUGGUUUUGUUCUAUUUCGGUGAAAUUCACAUAACAUAAAAUUAAUUGUUUAAGGAGUUCUCCUGGGGCACAGUGGGUUAAGGAUCCCGUGUAGUCUCUGCUAUGGCUCAGGUUGCUGCUAUGGCAUGUGUUCGAUCCUGUGAAGGUUCCUGGCCUGGGAAACUUCACAUGCCACAGGCUUGGCCAAAAAAAAAAAAAAAAAGAAAGAAAGAAAGAAAAAAGAAAAACUUGGAGUUCCCAUUGUGGUUCAGUGGUAAUGAACAACUAGUAUCCAUGAGGAUGUGGGUUCAAUGCCUGACCUCACUCAGUGGGUUAAGGAGCCAGUGUUGCUGUGAGCUGUGGUGCAGGCCAGCAGCUGCAGCUCCAAUUUGACCCCUAGCCUGGGAACUUCUAUAUGCCAUACAUGAGGGCCUAAAAAAAAACAAAAAUGGAAAAAAAAAAACAACUAUUUUAAAACAUACCAUUCAGUAACAUUUAGAGUAUUCAUGAUCUUGUGUGACUGCCACUUCUAUCUAGUCUCAAAACCAGUUCAUCAUCCCAAGAGGAAACGUCAUAUGCAUUAAGCAGACCUUCUGCCUCCCUGUCCCCAGGCCCUGCCCACCCCUACUCUACUUUCACUCUGUCUCUGUGAAUUUACCUCUUCUGGAUAUUCCAUAUAACAGAAUCAUACAAUACGUGACCUUUUGUGUCUGGCUCCUUUCACUCAGCAUCAUGUUUCUGAGGUCCAUCUGUGUUGUGGCAGGGAUCAGUACUUCAUUCCUUUAUAUGGCUGAAUGAUAGCUCUUUGUGCAUAAAUUUUGAAGAAGAUGCUUCUCAUUUUCCCUUUGCACUGGGCUCUGAAAUCCCAAAGCUGGCCUGAGCUGGCUCUGACCAGGUGUGGGAGCUGGUCACACUCAAUGGGACCCUCCACCACGCAGCCAAAAUGAUCUUCCCCAGGUGAAGCCUGAUGUGCCAUCUC